ACACUCCUGCGGGAGGCAGCAGUGGGGAAUUUUGGACAAUGGGCGAAAGCCUGAUCCAGCAAUGCCGCGUGUGUGAAGAAGGCCUUCGGGUUGUAAAGCACUUUUGUCCGGAAAGAAAUCCUUGGCCCUAAUACAGUCGGGGGAUGACGGUACCGGAAGAAUAAGCACCGGCUAACUACGUGCCAGCAGCCGCGGUAAUACGUAGGGUGCGAGCGUUAAUCGGAAUUACUGGGCGUAAAGCGUGCGCAGGCGGUUUGCUAAGACCGAUGUGAAAUCCCCGGGCUCAACCUGGGAACUGCAUUGGUGACUGGCAGGCUAGAGUAUGGCAGAGGGGGGUAGAAUUCCACGUGUAGCAGUGAAAUGCGUAGAGAUGUGGAGGAAUACCGAUGGCGAAGGCAGCCCCCUGGGCCAAUACUGACGCUCAUGCACGAAAGCGUGGGGAGCAAACAGGAUUAGAUACCCCGGUAGUCCCAUGAU
rnacentral:rRNA from 1 species